ACUGCCUUCAGGUUACUAUAUAGAGGAAGCUGUGUUACCUGUCCACUGCCUUCAGGUUACUAUAUAGAGGAAGCUGUGUUACCUGUCCACUGCCUUCAGGUUACUAUAUAGAGGAAGCUGUGUACCACCUGUCCACUGCCUUCAGGUUACUAUAUAGAGGAAGCUGUGUUACCUGUCCACUGCCUUCAGGUUACUAUAUAGAGGAAGCUGUGUUACCUGUACUAUAUA